rnacentral:rRNA from 1 species
GACGUAGGGGGCAAGCGUUGUCCGGAAUCAUUGGGCGUAAAGAGCGUGUAGGCGGUUUAGUAAGUCUGCUGUGAAAGUCCAGGGCUCAACCCUGGGAUGCCGGUGGAUACUGCUGGGCUAGAGUACGGAAGAGGCGAGUGGAAUUCCCGGUGUAGCGGUGAAAUGCGCAGAUAUCGGGAGGAACACCUAUUGCGAAGGCAGCUCGCUGGGACGUUACUGACGCUGAGACGCGAAAGCGUGGGGAGCAAACAGG